UAUUCUGUCCCACGGGGAAGGAUGAGAAGCUUCGACUAAGGUUCGACUCGAGCGAAGCGAGAGAACGUUGCCGCAGGCAACGGCCCGAAGGGCGAAGCGCUUUAGCGCCGAGUAAUCCUUCCCCCACCACUG
rnacentral:sRNA from 1 species